UACGUAGGUGGCGAGCGUUGCCCGGAUUUACUGGGUGUAAAGGGCGCGUAGGCGGGCUGACAAGUCAGAUGUGAAAUCUCCGGGCUCAACCCGGAAACUGCAUUUGAAACUGCCAGUCUUGAGUGUCGGAGAGGUAGACGGAAUUCCUAGUGUAGCGGUGAAAUGCGUAGAUAUUAGGAGGAACACCAGUGGCGAAGGCGGUCUACUGGACGAUAACUGGCGCUGAGGCGCGAAAGCGUGGGGAGCAAAC
rnacentral:rRNA from 1 species